GAUGAACGCUGACAGAAUGCUUAACACAUGCAAGUCAACUUGAAUUUGGGUUUUUAACUUAGGUUUGGGUGGCGGACGGGUGAGUAACGCGUAAAGAACUUGCCUCACAGCUAGGGACAACAUUUGGAAACGAAUGCUAAUACCUAAUAUUAUGAUAAUAGGGCAUCCUAUAAUUAUGAAAGCUAUAAGCGCUGUGAGAGAGCUUUGCGUCCCAUUAGCUAGUUGGAGAGGUAACGGCUCACCAAGGCGAUGAUGGGUAGCCGGUCUGAGAGGGUGAUCGGCCACAAGGGGACUGAGACACGGCCCUUACUCCUACGGGAGGCAGCAGUGGGGAAGAUUGGACAAUGGACCGAGAGUCUGAUCCAGCAAUUCUGUGUGCACGAUGAAGUUUUUCGGAAUGUAAAGUGCUUUCAGUUGGGAAGAAACAAAUGACGGUACCAACAGAAGAAGUGACGGCUAAAUACGUG
rnacentral:rRNA from 1 species